UACGGGGGGGGCAAGCGUUGUUCGGAAUUACUGGGCGUAAAGGGCUCGUAGGCGGCCAACUAAGUCAGACGUGAAAUCCCUCGGCUUAACCGGGGAACUGCGUCUGAUACUGGAUGGCUGGAGUUUGGGAGAGGGAUGCGGAAUUCCAGGUGUAGCGGUGAAAUGCGCAGAUAUCGGGAGGAACACCAAUGGCGAAGGCAGCUCGCUGGGACGGUAUUGACGCUGAGACGCGAAAGCGUGGGGAGCAAACAGG
rnacentral:rRNA from 1 species